AUUGAACGCUGGCGGCAGGCCUAACACAUGCAAGUCGAGCGGUAGAGAGAAGCUUGCUUCUCUUGAGAGCGGCGGACGGGUGAGUAAUGCCUAGGAAUCUGCCUGAUAGUGGGGGAUAACGUCCGGAAACGGACGCUAAUACCGCAUAUGCCCUACGGGAGAAAGUGGGGGCUCUUCGGACCUCACGCUAUCAGAUGAGCCUAGGUCGGAUUAGCUAGUUGGUGGGGUAAAGGCUCACCAAGGCGACGAUCCGUAACUGGUCUGAGAGGAUGAUCAGUCACACUGGAACUGAGACACGGUCCAGACUCCUACGGGAGGCAGCAGUGGGGAGUAUUGGACAAUGGGCGAAAGCCUGAUCCAGCCAUGCCGCGUGUGUGAAGAAGGUCUUCGGAUUGUAAAGCACUUUAAGUUGGGAGGAAGGGUCGUUACCUAAUACGUGGCGAUUUUGACGUUACCGACAGAAUAAGCACCGGCUAACUCUGUGCCAGCCGCCGCGGUAAAAC
rnacentral:rRNA from 1 species